CUGCCUCGAGUAUUUACAAGAGGCUGGGAGUGGACAUCUUGACCACACCCACCACUUCCGGGAGACUUGAGGAGGUUGAGCCACCAAGAAAGCGUUAUAUUCAAGCUGUCAAUCAAGCAGUAUUUUAUAACAUAGGGUCCACUCGUACAGCUGGCAGAGUGGUGCCAAAUGGAGCGGCGAAAUCUUUGUUGAGCAAUGAACAAAUACAACAAUUCAUAACCUCAACAGUUCUUCCUAAUGGUCGCUCAGUCACCAGCACUGAAGCAGUCAACUCUAAUGUCACCAAUUGUACUGUGUAUCCGUCUCAGCCAGGGACAAGGAUACAU